rnacentral:rRNA from 1 species
GUCAACUGGCUACUGUGCCAGCUGGUGAAUGGCUCGGCUCGAGAGCCGACGACGGACGUGCCAAGCUGCGAUAAGCCGUAGGGAGCCGCAUGGAGGCGAAGAACUACGGAUCUCCGAAUGGGAAUCCCUCUACAAUUGCUUCGCGCAAUGGGGAACGCUCCGAAUUGAAACAUCUCAGUAGGAGCAGGAAGAGAAAUCAAACCGAGAUGUCGUUACUAACGGCGAGUGAACGCGACACAGUCCAAACCGAAGCCCUCACGGGCAAUGUGGUGUUCGGGCUGAUAGCAAGCAGUUCGAGUUCGUGAGAAGUCUCCUGGAACGGAGCACGAUACAGGGCGACAGUCCCGUAUCACGAACGCGGCCUGCGGAUCAGUUCCCAGAGUAGCGGGGGUUGGAUAUCCCUCGUGAAUAUCUCAGGCAUCGACUGAGAAGACUAAACACUCCUCGAGACCGAUAGCGAACAAGUAGCGUGAGCGAACGCUGAAAAGCACCCCGAGAAGGGCGGUGCAAUAGGGCCUGAAAUCAGCUGGCGAUUGAGCGACGGGGCUUGAAAGGCCCCUCACAGAAUGACCGUGGGGCGACCCACCAGUAAGACGUGAGGGGAGCCGAAGUCGCGUCGUGCGUUUUGAAAAACGAACCAGGGAGUGUACUUCUCCGGCGAGUCUAACACGCGCAUCGUGGAAGGCGCAGGGAAACCGAUAUGGCCGCAGUCUUACGACGAGGGCCACCGUGUUCAAGCGCGGGGAGUCGAAGAGGUACGACCCGAAACCGAGUGAUCUACUCCGAGGCAGGAUGAAGCGUGCCGAAAGGCACGUGGAGGUCCGUUAGCGUUGGUGUCCUACAAUACCCUCGCGUGAUCUUGGAGUAGGGGUGAAAGGCCCAUCGAACUCGGCAACAGCUGGUUCCGACCGAAACAUGUCGAAGCAUGACCUCUCCCGAGGUAGUUCGUGCGGUAGAGCCACCGAUUGAGAGACCCGCCUCCGAGAGGAGUCGGCCUCUCUGUCGAACUCCGAACGUACGAACGCUGUCGACGGAGGGAGUCCGGUGUCCCGGGGUAAGCUUGGGCACCGUGAGGGGAACAACCCAGAGUUAGGUUAAUGACCCAAAAUGUGGAUUAAGUGUAAUCCUCUGAAGGUAGUCUUGAGCCCUAAACAGCCGGGAGGUGAGCUUAGAAGCAGCUACCCGCUAAGAAAAGCGUAACAGCUUACCGGCCGAGGUUCAAGGCGCCCAAAAUGAUCGGGACUCAAAUCCACUUCUGAUACCUAACCGUCCCUGUAAGAAGGGAACCGUGUAGGUCGGCGUACUGUACGGAUGGAAGCUCGGGCGAGAGCUCGCGUGGACCGUUCAGUAACGACAAUCCUGGUCACAGUAGCAGCGAUAUUCGGGUGCGAACCCCGAAGGUCUGAAGGGUAAGAGUUCCUCGGCACUGCCAAUCAGCCGAGGGUUAGCCGAUCCUAAGUCCGGCCGUAAGUCGAACCGGACAAACGGGGAACUGGUUAAUAUUCCAGUGCCACCACGCACUGAAAGUCGACGCUUUGGGAACUGGUGAGCCGGGCGUUCGCCCGGUCGAAUCAGGGAAUCCCGUGGAAGCCGUAACGGCACGAAGCGAGAGAAGCCUGAGACAGCGCAAGUCACCACUACCUAGAGCCCGUGAAAAGACGAGCGUGGUGUUCGUAUCGAGAUCCGACACAGGUACCCUGGCAGAGCAAGCCAAGACCGACGGGAACAACCGACGUUAGGGAAUUCGGCAAGUUAGUCCCGUACGUUCGCAAUAAGGGAUGCCUGCCUUUCGCGAGGCAGGUCGCAGUGACUCGGUGGCUCCGACUGUCUAGUAACAACACAGGUGACCGCAAAUCCGCAAGGACUCGUACGGUCACUGAAUCCUGCCCAGUGCAGGUAUCUGAACACCUCGUACAAGAGGACGAAGGACCUGUCAACGGCGGGGGUAACUAUGACCCUCUUAAGGUAGCGUAGUACCUUGUCGCUUCAGUAGCGACUCGCAUGAAUGGAUCAACGAGAGCCACACUGUCCCAACGUGGGGCCCCGGUGAACUGUACGUUCCAGUGCGGAGUCUGGACCCCCAAGGGGAAGCGAAGACCCUAUAGAGCUUUACUGCAGGCUGUCGCUGAGACGUGGCCGCUGACGUGCAGGAUAGGUAGGAGUCAGUACACAGGUACCCGCGCUAGCGGGCCACCGAGACAUCACUGAAAUACUACCCGUCAGUGGCUGCGACUCUCACUCCGGGAGGAGAACACCGGUAGCCGGGCAGUUUGACUGGGGCGGUACGCGCUCGAAAAGAUAUCGAGCGCGCCCCAAGAUUUCCUCACGCGGGACAGGAACCCGCGGAAGAGCGCAAGAGCACAAGGAAGUCUGACAGUGUCAUUCCAAGCGAGUGACGCUGACGCGAAAGCGUGGUCUAGCGAACGGAUCACGGGCCUCAAUGGCCCGGAUUUACGACAGAAAAGCUACCUUAGGGAUAACAGAGUCGUCACGCGCAAGAGCACAUAUCGACCGCGUGGCUUGCUACCUCGAUGUCGGUUCCCUCCAUCCUGCCCGUGCAGAAGCGGGCAAGGGUGAGGUUGUUCGCCUAUUAAAGGAGGUCGUGAGCUGGGUUUAGACCGUCGUGAGACAGGUCGGCUGCUAUCUAUUGGGGGUGUUACGGUACUUGACGGGAACGGUCGUAUAGUACGAGAGGAACUACGACUGGUUGCCACUGGUGUAUCGGUUGUCCGAAAGGGCAGCUGCCGAGAAGCUACGCAACACGGGGUAAGAGCUGAACGCAUCUAAGCUCGAAACCCACCUGAAAAAGAAGUACCACCGAGACCACUCGUAGAAGACGAGUUCGAUAGACUCGGGAUGUACGCGCCGAGGCAACGAGGCGUUCAGUCCACGAGCACUAACAGGUCAAGCCACACUCAUA